AGUGGGCUAGCUGGGUCAAAUGGUGAUUCUAUUUCAAGGUUUCUGAGGAAUCUCCAUACUGUUUCCCAUACUGGUUGAACCAAUUUGCAGUCCCACCAGCAAU
rnacentral:pre_miRNA from 1 species